UUGUUUGUCAUGAAUCAUUUCUCACAUGAAUAGAUUUGUGUAUUCUAACAUGCCAUUCUAUGCUAGAGUUUCUUUGAACUUGAAGUGCGAAAAACUACGAACUACGACUCAUGAUAGCUAUCUCAAAAUCAAAUUUGAGUAAUAAGUAAUAAUUGAUGAGUGAAGUUUCAGUUGUUAUUCUUAUAUAGUGCUUCUCUUCCUUCUUUUUCAUGAAUAUAGACAGGGCUUAUAGGAAAAUCUCUGAUUGAGUUCCAGUCUACAAAAGGAGAUGUUCUUCCUGCACACAAGAAUCAGAGCCAGUGCUUAGCAGAUCUAUGUGGCGUAUUGCACUGUGACAUUGAAAUCAAUUUUGGGUUGAAAAAACCAAAAUGUAAUCCUACUGCCGCUGCAAGAAAUAAACAUCUGUGCGAGGUGUGCAUCAGUCUGUCUUUAGAUCGGAUAUAGUAAGGUCAGAAAGUGGGAAGCAGCGAAUAAUUUUGAUGGACCAAGAAUUUCAAGAAGCAAGUAUAUUGCCAUCAUUACUAAGAAGCUCAAGAAAGAAUGAAGCUAUCCAUAAAUUAGGAUAUUGAA